GUGGAAAGAAGAAAGGUACUAGGGAAAAGCAGAGAAAGGAGAUUUAUUCAAUGUGGCUGCAUUGGGAAGACGAACAAAUAGAGGCCUGGUGGCUCUUUCCUGGCAAGUACAGCUUUGAGGUCCUGAUGUGAGUUUUAGGUUUAACCAGAGAGCAAGAGGUUUGCAAAGCUGAGCAGUUUUGGUUAGGAUCUGGUCCCACACGUCAAUGACUCAUCAUUGUCUUGCAUCCAAUCUCUCCUGCAAGGUAGCCUGACAAGUUGUCAGAACUCCCUACAGUCGUGAAACAUCUCCCUAAGAGAGGAAUUCCUUCUGCAGCUGCCACCAAGCUUCAGCCUUUUCCUUCUCCUGAUGUCAGAUUCCCAGGGAAAUGCCAGUUUCUCCAAGCCCAGCUGCCUGACAACUGAGUGGAGCAGACAGUAUCACGUUAAGGGACUUCCCGGGGGCUCCCAGAGCUUUAGUGACAGACUGGGUUCACAUCACCUGUGUCUCCUAUUCUGAGCAAUUACUGGUUCCUGCAGCCCUCUACCCUGUGGACGGCCACUGUGGGACUAGCUAGACUCUGAAUGGGGCUUUUAAAAGAAUGCCAAGGGGUGGACAAAAGACCUCCCCCAGCACAGCCAAGUGCAAACCCUUCCAAACACCUGGUGACCAUGCACAUGGUCAAGCCUUCCCCUUAUGCAGCCCUGCUGUGUGAAGCAAGCUCAGAUCUCACCAGGAAACCUCUGUGGACCCCAACAGAAGACUGAGCUUGGCCAAGGAGCACUCUAUGAAGAAAGAAGCUCAUGUAUAACAUCAAGCUGUUUUCCAAUCCCACUCCCUUCCCAGUCUGAACUCAGUACGCAAUUCCUUGUCAAGUUGUUCCUGAGCUCUGGAUUCUACAUUGGCAAAUGACGUGCUCCUCUGAACUUCCCGGCACUGUUCUCUAGUUGUGCCAAUCAUAUUCAUUGCUCCACCUUGCCACCUGGUGAGACCAUGACGGAACCAUGUUCUAAAUGCCCUACCAUCGCUUUGAACACCUAAUCCAAGGAGAAGCUCAAAAAUGUAAUAAAAAAAAUGCACAUAGGCAUAAAUGAACACCCUGAUUAGCGGAUGUUUUUGACUACAUAAAGUUAGACGGAUAGCCAAUGAGCCCCAGGAGAGGCUGCUGCAGCUGUGCCAAAGAUACUGUGUCCUUGCUCUUUGUAAUCACAAGGAUGCACUCGAUGUUAACGACAUCAAAGAGAUCCUACCCCUCCAAUCCAUCAAAAAAGCAUAAGGGUAGGUAGGAUGUUAGGAAAAGCUGGGUCUGUUCAUAGCGCUACAAGAAAUCCCUACUCUACCUAACAGGUCUUACAUUGCACAAACUGUUCUCAAGAAAAUUUCUAAAGGGAACAUACUAUAUUCUGUCCGUCAUUCAAUAUUCCUCAUCUCCAGGCAGAAGAAUCCUGCAGUGGGAGCCUGCUGAUGAAAGACAGGCCAACAGAUACCUACAAGUUUUCCACCAACUAAAAUUUAGAAAUGGACACCGCAUACCAGUUUGCAUCAAUCGGUUCCUAGGUCUGCCAACACUCCCCUCUCUGUGGCUCUUGGUUCUUUAAUCUUCUAGCACAGAAGACAGGCAGAGGAGAACUCAGUGACUCACACUGCAGCUCCGAGUCUCUCUGUUUUCUCCAUUCUUUGGACUUCAGAUGAUGUGCCAGACCAAGCAACGUUUUGCUCGACAUUAAGUCAUGAAAUGAUCUUUGCUGUGAGUGUCGAAAUAAAAGCUAUCAGACUGUGCCUGCGUGAAGGAAGGCCCAGUGAUAAACAGGUUUGUUUGCUGUGGUUCAGUGAAUACCUCUGAACACCUGCUAAACUGCAUUGCAUUCUCUGGAGGCUACAAACACAGAGGCAGAUGAAAUAUCGCCUCUGAUUCGAAGGUGUGUGUAUCUAGCAGGGGAUUCAGAUAUUUUGGUAGGAGAUUACUCCUCUGUGCUGUAAGUGCAGAGAGAGGGGUAAUAAGAGCAGGGAAAGCCCACCCAAUCUCAGGGUGAGCAGAAAAGCAGACAGCUAAAUAGCCAUGGUAAUUGUAAUCACAUAUUGUCACAUAGCUGUAUAAAUGGUCCUAUGUAAAAUGAGGUCAGUGUUUCAGGGAAACAGUUCCC